rnacentral:rRNA from 1 species
CCCUUAGAUGUUCUGGGCCGCACGCGCGCUACACUGACGAAGUCAGCGAGCAUGUCCUACGCCGACAGGUGCGGGGAAUCUUGUCAAACUUCGUCGUGAUGGGGAUUGAUUAUUGAAAUUCUUGAUCAUCAACGAGGAAUUCCUAGUAAGCGCAAGUCAGCAGCUUGCGUUGAUUACGUCCCUGCCCUUUGUACACACCGCCCGUCGCUACUACCGAUUGAAUGGUCUAGUGAGAUCUUCGGAUUGGCGCCACUGCGGCUCAGCAAUGGGCUCGGUGGAUGCCGAAAAGUUGAUCAAACUUGAUCAUUUAGAGGAAGUAAAAGUCGUAACA